AGUCGAACGGAGGUAUGGGCUUCGGCCCAUGCCUUAGUGGCGAACGGGUGAGUAACACGUGAGCAACCUGCCCCGUACUACGGGAUAACACUAAGAAAUUAGUGCUAAUACGGUAUAUGACCACACCGAGGCAUCUCGGAGGGGUAAAAGCGUUUAGCGGUACGGGAUGGGCUCGCGGCCAAUUAGCUAGUUGGUGAGGUAACGGCCCACCAAGGCGACGAUUGGUAGCCGACUUGAGAGAGUGAUCGGCCACACUGGAACUGAGACACGGUCCAGACUCCUACGGGAGGCAGCAGUGGGGAAUAUUGGGCAAUGGAGGAAACUCUUACCCAGCAAUGCCGCGUGAGUGAAGAAGGUCUUCGGAUUGUAAAGCUCUUUGAUUGGGGACGAAUUAAUGACGGUACCCAAGGAACAAGCCCCGGCUAACUAUGUGCCAGCAGCCGCGGUAAUACACAGGGGGCGAGCGUUGUCCGGAAUGACUGGGCGUAAAGGGUGUGUAGGCGGCUUCGCAAGUUGGAAGUGUAAUACCAGGGCUUAACUCAGGUGCUGCUUCCAAAACUGCGAGGCUUGAGUGUCGGAGAGGAAGAUGGAAUUCCUAGUGUAGCGGUGGAAUGCGUAGAUAUUAGGAGGAACACCAGAGGCGAAAGCGAUCUUCUGGACGAUAACUGACGCUGAGGCACGAAAGCGUGGGGAGCAAACAGGAUUAGAUACCCUGGUAGUCCACGCCGUAAACGAUGGAUACUAGGUGUAGGGGGUAUCGACUCCCCCUGUACCGCAGCUUAACGCAAUAAGUAUCCCGCCUGGGGAGUACGGCCGCAGGGUGGAAACUCAAAGGGAUUGGACGGGGACCCGCCCAA
rnacentral:rRNA from 1 species